GACAUAGGUGGCAAGCGUUAUCCGGAAUCACUGGGCGUAAAGGGUGCGUAGGCGGGUCUUUAAGUCAGGGGUGAAAUCCUGGAGCUCAACUCCAGAACUGCCUUUGAUACUGAAGAUCUUGAGUUCGGGAGAGGUGAGUGGAACUGCGAGUGUAGAGGUGAAAUUCGUAGAUAUUCGCAAGAACACCAGUGGCGAAGGCGGCUCACUGGCCCGAUACUGACGCUGAGGCACGAAAGCGUGGGGAGCAAACAGG
rnacentral:rRNA from 1 species